GACGAACGCUGGCGGCGUGCCUAAUACAUGCAAGUCGAGCGGGCCGAACGAGAGCUUGCUCUUGUUCGGUCAGCGGCGGACGGGUGAGUAACACGUGGGCAACCUGCCCGCAAGACCGGGAUAACUCCGGGAAACCGGAGCUAAUACCGGAUAACACCAAAGACCGCAUGGUCUUUGGUUGAAAGGCGGCUUCGGCUGUCACUUGCGGAUGGGCCCGCGGCGCAUUAGCUAGUUGGUGAGGUAACGGCUCACCAAGGCGACGAUGCGUAGCCGGCCUGAGAGGGUGACCGGCCACACUGGGACUGAGACACGGCCCAGACUCCUACGGGAGGCAGCAGUAGGGAAUCUUCCGCAAUGGACGAAAGUCUGACGGAGCGACGCCGCGUGAGCGAAGAAGGCCUUCGGGUCGUAAAGCUCUGUUGUGAGGGACGAAGGAGCGCCGUUUGAAUAAGGCGGCGCGGUGACGGUACCUCACGAGAAAGCCCCGGCUAACUAC
rnacentral:rRNA from 1 species